AUGAAUAGUUUUGGAGCCCGAAAUCCGAGCAUUUCUCUAUUCGAACGCCGGUGCCCUUUAAGGAGGGUGCGGUUCUUGGUCACCGACUACAAGCAGUUGUGGCCCAAGAAGUAUAAACCGAUUCUACGGAGGCUGUCAUGCUACGACAUUGUCGAUUUCGACUCGAACAAUGAUGUGCACUGCUUCCACCAUGUGAUCCUUGGACUGUUGAGGGACAGGAACCUGAUCAUACGCCGGCAUCCUACAAGAAACCCCAAGGGACACUCCAUGGUGGGAUUCACAAGAUUCCUGCGCCGCGCCUACGGUCUCCGAAGAGACAGGCCUCUGGCCCUAGGCGAAAACUCCGGCAAGAAGCCGAGGAUGCUGAUCAUAUCUCGCCGAGGGACACGGAGGCUCCUGAACCUGCACCAGGUGGAGACUAUGGCAACAUUGGUAGGAUUCGACGUGACGGUCUCCGAGGCUAGGGACAACGACAUCAAGAGGUUCGCAGAGACGGUGAACUCUUGCGACGUGCUGGUGGCGGUGCACGGUGCUGGCCUGACCAACCAGGUGUUCCUCCCGGCGCGGGCGGUGGUGGUUCAGAUCGUGCCGUGA
rnacentral:rRNA from 1 species